rnacentral:rRNA from 1 species
AUUGAACGCUGGCGACAUGCCUUACACAUGCAAGUCGAACGGCAGCACGGGUGCUUGCACCUGGUGGCGAGUGGCGAACGGGUGAGUAAUACAUCGGAACAUGUCCUGUAGUGGGGGAUAGCCCGGCGAAAGCCGGAUUAAUACCGCAUACGAUCUACGGAUGAAAGCGGGGGACCUUCGGGCCUCGCGCUAUAGGGUUGGCCGAUGGCUGAUUAGCUAGUUGGUGGGGUAAAGGCCUACCAAGGCGACGAUCAGUAGCUGGUCUGAGAGGACGACCAGUCACACUGGGACUGAGACACGGCCCAGACUCCUACGGGAGGCAGCAGUGGGGAAUUUUGGGCAAUGGGCGAAAGCCUGAUCCAGCAAUGCCGCGUGUGUGAAGAAGGCCUUCGGGUUGUAAAGCACUUUUGUCCGGAAAGAAAUCCUUGGCCCUAAUACGGGCGGGGGAUGACGGUACCGGAAGAAUAAGCACCGGCUAACUACGUG